rnacentral:rRNA from 1 species
AGCGGCGGAUGGGUGAGUAACACGUGGGGAACCUGCCCCUAAGUCUGGGAUACCAUUUGGAAACAGGUGCUAAUACCGGAUAAUAAAGCAGAUCGCAUGAUCAGCUUUUGAAAGGCGGCGUAAGCUGUCGCUAAGGGAUGGCCCCGCGGUGCAUUAGCUAGUAGGUAAGGUAACGGCUUACCAAGGCGACGAUGCAUAGCCGAGUUGAGAGACUGAUCGGCCACAUUGGGACUGAGACACGGCCCAAACUCCUACGGGAGGCAGCAGUAGGGAAUCUUCCACAAUGGACGCAAGUCUGAUGGAGCAACGCCGCGUGAGUGAAGAAGGUUUUCGGAUCGUAAAGCUCUGUUGUUGGUGAAGAAGGAUAGAGGUAGUAACUGGCCUUUAUUUGACGGUAAUCAACCAGAAAGUCACGGCUAACUACGUGCCAGCAGCCGCGGUAAUACGUAGGUGGCAAGCGUUGCCCGGAUUUAUUGGGCGUAAAGCGAGCGCAGGCGGAAAAAUAAGUCUAAUGUGAAAGCCCUCGGCUUAACCGAGGAACUGCAUCGGAACUGUUUUUCUUGAGUGCAGAAGAGGAGAGUGGAACUCCAUGUGUAGCGGUGGAAUGCGUAGAUAUAUGGAAGAACACCAGUGGCGAAAGCGGCUCUCUGGUCUGCAACUGACGCUGAGGCUCGAAAGCAUGGGUAGCGAACAGGAUUAGAUACCCUGGUAGUCCAUGCCGUAAACGAUGAGUGCUAAGUGU